UUUUUUGAGACAAAAUAGUAGACAAAUACAAAAUAAAAUAUUUAAGACUUACAGUUGAUAUUAACUAGGAAAGCACUAGCUUGUUCUACUUUUGAAGGUGCAUGACAAUAAGGCGCAGUCGUCGAGACUAGAAAGUUUACAUAUCAACUUUUAGAAAAGGUGUAAUUUUAUCACGGUUCACAUACAGCCAUAUCCCAGUGCCAUCCAUCUCACGAUAGUUACAUGGUUCAAGGAAAUAUAUUUGUGUACGAUAUACGCGUUGGAAGAUUACAUAUGUUUCAAGUGAAUAAAUAUGGUACCUACUAGUCUGUGUAUUUAUGAACAAUAAUGAAACUAUUAUUUAACUAUAACUAAAUAGUAUAACGUGGCUAUACUAAAUUG